rnacentral:pre_miRNA from 1 species
GGAAGCAUAGAGGAAGGGAUUCUGGGAGGUUGUAGCAGUGGAAAAAUUCCUUUUUUCCUCUGAUCGCCCUUUCAGCUCUUUCCUUCUGACUGAAAAUCAUCUUCAGCACCU